rnacentral:rRNA from 1 species
GGAACGUGCCUAGUAGUGGGGGAUAACUACUCGAAAGAGUGGCUAAUACCGCAUGAGAUCUACGGAUGAAAGCAGGGAUCGCAAGACCUUGUGCUACUAAGCGGCCGAUGGCAGAUUAGGUAGUUGGUGGGAUAAAAGCUUACCAAGCCGACGAUCUGUAGCUGGUCUGAGAGGACGAUCAGCCACACUGGGACUGAGACACGGCCCAGACUCCUACGGGAGGCAGCAGUGGGAAUUUGGACAAUGGGCGCAAGCCUGAUCCAGCAAUGCCGCGUGCAGGAUGAAGCCUUCGGUUGUAACUGCUUUUUGUACGGAACGAAAAGCCUGGAUUAAUACCCUGGGGUCAUGACGGUACCGUAAGAAUAAGCACCGGCUAACUACGUGCCAGCAGCCGCGGUAAUACGUAGGGUGCGAGCGUUAAUCGGAAUUACUGGGCGUAAAGCGUGCGCAGCGGUUUUGUAAGACAGAGUGAAAUCCCCGGGCUCAACCUGGGAACUGCCUUUGUGACUGCAAGGCUAGAGUACGGCAGAGGGGGAUGGAAUUCCGCGUGUAGCAGUGAAAUGCGUAGAUAUGCGGAGGAACACCGAUGGCGAAGGCAAUCCCUGGGCCUGUACUGACGCUCAUGCACGAAAGCGUGGGGAGCAAACAGGAUUAGAUACCUGGUAGUCCACGCCCUAAACGAUGUCAACU